rnacentral:rRNA from 1 species
UACGGGGGGAGCAAGCGUUGUUCGGAUUUACUGGGCGUAAAGGGCGCGUAGGCGGUCGUGACAAGUCACUUGUGAAAUCUCCGGGCUUAACUCGGAACGGUCAAGUGAUACUGUCGGACUAGAGUACAGAAGGGGCAACUGGAAUUCUCGGUGUAGCGGUGAAAUGCGUAGAUAUCGAGAGGAACACCGGUGGCGAAGGCGGCCAUCUGGACGGAUUCUGACGCUGAGACGCGAAAGCGUGGGUAGCAAACAGG